rnacentral:rRNA from 1 species
UAGGGAAUCUUCGGCAAUGGGGGGAACCCUGACCGAGCAACGCCGCGUGAGUGAAGAAGGUUUUCGGAUCGUAAAGCUCUGUUGUUAAGGAAGAACGAGUGUGAGAAUGGAAAGUUCAUGCUGUGACGGUACUUAACCAGAAAGGGACGGCUAACUACGUGCCAGCAGCCGCGGUAAUACGUAGGUCCCGAGCGUUGUCCGGAUUUAUUUGGCGUAAAGCGAGCGCAGGCGGUUAGAAAAGUCUGAAGUGAAAGGCAGUGGCUCAACCAUUGUAGGCUUUGGAAACUGUUUAACUUGAGUGCAGAAGGGGAGAGUGGAAUUCCAUGUGUAGCGGUGAAAUGCGUAGAUAUAUGGAGGAACACCGGUGGCGAAAGCGGCUCUCUGGUCUGUAACUGACGCUGAGGCUCGAAAGCGUGGGGAGCGAACAGG